ACUUGUGAAAAGGCAUUUCUUAGCAACAGGAUACUGAACUUUCUGCUCUGGCCCAGGAGAAUCCUUAUGUAUCAGCAGCUUGAAAAGGGACACAGGAAAAAGUCUUGGCAAGGAACCAGACACCUCCAAGAUGGAAAUUCUGUUCUACAGCCAACCCCAAGGGAGUUUUGGAGAGUAACUGGACCCAAUAACUAUAUGAAGCCUCAUAUACUUUUCUAAACUUACAGCAGCAUGACUGGAUGGUUUGGUAUCACCCUGGGUUUGGGAAUCACCCUGGGUGACAAGGGGUGCAAUAAAUGCCUAAUAGCUUGGAGCAUCAAAUGAAGACAGGGAAAAGCAUUUUGUCCAUAUAAAACCCCAGUAACCCCAAAUAAGUGAUCAUGGGUUUAUGGAUGGCAGCAGGAGGCAGAAGUGCUCAGUAUGGAGAAGGUGGAGCUCCUUUUGCUUCCCCUGAGGACCAGGAGGAGCUCCAUGGUCCCCAGGGAUCAAGGUGAAAUUCCUCAGGAAUGAAAAUACUGCCAUGAUUACAGCCUGAGCCCCAGAAUUCAGCUUGAAAGUGCUCAGAAUCUCAAUGAUGAAACUGUUUUUUGAGGUGAACACCUUCCUUGGACUGCUGUUAUGGAGAAAGCCUCUUAAAUGUCAGUCAAAAAAGCAAAUGAUAACUUAAGCUCUUCUCAGUGCUUAAUUCUAAAUUUAAACAGGUUCCACUGAAGGAUGAAAGGCCUGAGGCACAGCUAAAAUCGUGAUACUGUAGCCUACAUUUAAGAAAGAUGCAAGAAAAUAGAGGUUUUCAAGGGUUAUCUCUCCUUUUGUGGGGACAAAAAUAAUUUCUUGAGGAAAUAACCAGGUUUUGUCUCCUUACCAUUGUACCUAUCUCAGACUGUGACCCCGGGGUAUGUUUUAUAUUAUUAUACCUGCCUUCUUUCUGGAAACAAAUAAAGAUAGAGGAGGUUAGAGACAUUUUCACCCGCUCAGACAUGCAAAGAUGGAACGAGAUAUAAAUCAGAAAAAAGUCAGUUGUGUGUCAGAGGACAAAAUGCCAUUAAAACCAAAACUCCAGAACUCGUGGCUCCCUUAUGGUACUUCUAGAAUUAAAAUAUCUCAUUGCACAGCUCAUGGACUUCUUCCAGUAGCACCACCACGAAUGCAGAGCAUUUCUUUGUAGAUCAAUUCAGUUACCUUGAGAGCAGAAUGCAUCCCCCUAGGAACAACUGUAAUAAAAGUGAAAUCAUAAUUUCACAGUGCUUCAUCACUGUGAUUGCACAAUCACAAUUUUGACAGUGCUUCAUUCCCUUAAGGUACAACUGAAGUCAAAAAAGCCCUUUGCUCCUAGCCCUUAAACUCCAGGAGAUUAUCAUUAAAAUGCAGCACAUCUUCUUUCUAAAGCUGUAAUUGAAAGAACUUCUCACACACUAAAAAUGACGUUCAGGUAGAUGAAGAAAUCAGAGGGGAAUUGACAGCACAAUCCUUCAAAAAGCAGAAAGGCUGAUCUGUUUUCUGACUGUUCUUAAAUCUGGAUUAAAGGCAGUAUGAGGUGUGUGUGCACUAAUGAUGGCUGGUGUAGACUAGGCCUGGGCUGUGCAUGAGGUUGGCCACGUGCAGGUAGGGAUGAGUUGAGGAAU